rnacentral:lncRNA from 13 species
AAAUGUGUGUGUAUACAUGUAUAUAUGUGUGUGAGAGAGAGAAGGAAAAAGUAAAUAUGGUAAAAUGUUAACACUUGGAAAUUAUGAGUGGAGUUUAUAUGGCCAUUCUUUGUAUUAUUCUUGCAACUUUUCUGUAAGAAAAAUUAUGUAAAAAUAAAACUUGUGUUUUUUUUGUUUUUGAAACAGGGUCUCACUCUGUUGCCCACACUGAAGUGUAGUGGCAUGAACGCAGCUCACAGCAACCUCCACCUUUCAGGCUCAAGCAGUUCUCCUGCCUCAGCCUCCUGAACAGCUGAGAUUACAGAAAAUGCCCAUCUGAAUCGAAUCAUGAGAAAACUCAGAAAAACCUGAAUCAAGAGGCAUUCGAUGAAACAACUGCCCUAUAAUAUUCAAAAGUGUCCAAGCCAUGGAAUGAAGAGUAUGACUGAGGAACUGUUUCAGCUGAGGGAGAUGGAGAAGGUCUUGAUAGCCUAGAAAAAUGACAAGACUACAAGGCCUUGAAGAGGAGGAAGAGUGUGAAGAAAACAAAAAAGGGAGAUUGAUGUCUGCUUCACCAUUUUACCCAAGGCUUGACCUGUCACACACUGAAGCUCAAAGAGGAAGAAAGGACCGUGUGAGAGAAUAAGGGAACAGCCUUCCAUCCAUAGAAGUUUGUCUAUGACAAAGCCACUGGCCCCGUGUGGCCACUGAGCACUCAAAAUGUGGCCAAUCUGAAUGCAGAUGUGUUGUUAGUAUAAAGUCCACAUUGGCUUUUUAGCACUUCGUAUGAGAAAAAAGAAGACCAAAUAUUUCCUGAAUAAUUGUUGCACUGAUUACAUGCUGAACUGAUGACAUUAUGGAUAUACUGGAUUAAACAAAAUAUAUUAUUAAAAUCAAAUAAAACAACGAAAUCAAUUUCA